AUGAACCAACCCCUUAAGGGAGGUGGAAGCACUCUAUUUAUAGUCAUGAGCCCAUGGGCCUCCUCCAAUGUGGGUUUAAUAAAAUAGUAAUAAAAGGGACAGCCUCUGCACGGAUUUGGUGGGAUUUGACUGACAGCGCCGUCUGACACACGCACAGUUGGCAGCUGACCAUGACGUGAUACCUCUGACGCAUCCUAGCAACGGUCGCCUCGGACCAACGGACUCACGGGGACCGGACCAACGGUGAUGAGACACCGGGGAGAGAUCCCGAACCCUCGGUGGCUUGGAGACCGGGUCAGAUGGCGCUUCUACUCGGCCUUGAUAAAAAUGCUCAUCCGGAAAGGCGAUGUCCCCGUACGAACUCUCGCCCCUUCUCUUUCUCCGAUCCAUAGCUACCCCGGAUCGAUCCGUAUUCGGUUUUCCACCGUAUACAAACAUGUUUCUCAUUAAUCUCAAAUUUCUCUAUAAGGGUGUCCUAGUAAUCGGGGUAUUGGGGUGCAGGGCUGCACCGUGUGUAAGGGUCCAUGCCAAGGCAACUAUUAGUAUGAUAGUAACAACCUUCUUUGCAAGAUCCAAAAGAGAAAGAAGAAGAAAUGGAGAUUACCCCCACUUGCGGAUAACAAUCUCAACUGCAAAUAUUUACUUUUUCUUGAAAGAAAAUGAUUGAGAGAGAGAAACUGUCCAUUGGGGUAGACAACCAGAAUCAGAGAAACUGGAGAAUGAGAACGCAAAGAAAGAGUCUUUUUCUUUUCUUUUCUUUUUUCUUUUUAAAUGUAUGCAUUCAAAAUAACAUGAAAGAUCUUAUUUGCCCCUCUGCAAUUUAACAGACGGUUAUUUUAUUUGAUGUCCGUUAGUUGAAGGACUAAAAUCACACGCAUUGUUUAAUUGAAGGUCGAAUGCGUUCAAUCGAAUAUCACAAAGACUAAAAUAGGAAUAAUACAAUAACAUAUGGACUAAAAAAGCUAUUUUCCUUGGAAGGUUGGCUAGAGAUUUCCUGUAAAAAUACUAGUCCUGCUGAGUUCAUAAUGAGAAUAUUUUUAUCGUUGAAUCUUUUUUUAUUCUAUGUAUUAUUCUCAUUAUACACAUAAAGGAGAAAUCGUAUGAGGGUGAAAAUUUCACGUACGGUUCUGCUUUUCUGUUCUUAUUUUUAAGGGUAUUUCAGACUUUCUAUGUCCCUAAAAAUUGAAGAGUCACCGCAUCAAUCUCUGCAUAUCUGGAAAUUUCUCCAUUCUUCUUUCUCUCUCGGUCAUACGAGCUGCCCUUAGCAUAAACCACAAUGAAGCUUCUGAAAACAAAGAGCAAGAAAUUCUGAUUCAGAUAGAGAAGAAAAAGAGUGAUGAAAUUUUCAGUGAAAAUCUAUGAUGUAACAAAGAGGAGAAGUGCAAAAGAGAUGGGGACGGAAGGAAAGAUUGAAAAAAAAAAAAAAUGGGUUUCCUUAUAAAAACUGAAGGUAUUUUCUCGAAGUCGGCAAAUUGAAAAAGAUGGGUUUGUCUGGAAGUUCUCUUAUAUAUAGUUGCAUAUGUGCAAUUUUCUUUCAAUUCCCCCCAUAUCUCUUAAAAUCAGGAGAAGUAAAAAUUAAUUUUAUCCUCCAUUUAUUUUGAUUUGCAAGAAAGAAUUACUCUUGCGUGUGGCAUCCGCAGCAAGCUCGAUACUCAUCCUACGUCAAAGUUUCAAUUUUGGGCAAGAACGGAUCAAGUCAAAGGUCGGAAACUUCUGUUGGAUUUUCUCAACUGUUUUUGUCGCUGAUAGCACACAAGAAAAACCAGCUAUAUAUUUCUCACGUUUGAUGUAGUUAGGGAAUUGGGAUGGAAGUGAGUAGCUCACAUGGGUUGCUCAUAUAUUGUAUACAAGACUUGAAGAUGAAGGAAGGAUAUGGGAUAAGUUUGGUCUUGAUUUUUGGUCGUGACUGGUUGUGGCUUAUAUUAGUUCUGUAGGUUAGUGAUUUGGAUCUUAAACAAAUGAAUUUGAACAUGGGAUGUGAAUACAUAUAUUGGUAUCUGGUGUUUGAUCUGAACCAAGUGGUGUUAUUCCUUCUCAAUAAGUAAUCAGUAUGAUUUCAUUUAAUUGGUCUAUGUUAUAGUGUUAUAUCCUUCGAUUGCUGUUAUUAUUUGUUAUUUUUUGUAGUUUAAUUAUCGUAUUAAUUGGUGGUAGUUACUGUUCCUUUU